UGGUCUGACAGCUCAUACACGUAAAAUCAGGACAAUACAGACAAGAUUAGCAUGGCUCCUGCUCAGGAAUGACACACACAUUCGUGAAGACUCCCUAAUCAAA